GGUGUAGCCUGGUGGUGAACACAAUCCGCUUAUCGGCUUCUCGCUCGCGAGUGAGCUGGGUCUUCGCAGGUCAGCACAGCGCUCAGGCGGUGUGACCUGAAAAGCGGAAGGUCGGCGGUUCGACCCCGCCCCUGCCCA
rnacentral:tRNA from 1 species